rnacentral:rRNA from 1 species
CCUACGGGCGGCAGCAGUGGGGAAUAUUGGACAAUGGGGGCAACCCUGAUCCAGCCAUGCCGCGUGUGUGAAGAAGGCCCUCGGGUUGUAAAGCACUUUCAGUGAGGAAGAACGCCUGGUGGUUAAUACCCAUCAGGAAAGACAUCACUCACAGAAGAAGCACCGGCUAACUCCGUGCCAGCAGCCGCGGUAAUACGGAGGGUGCGAGCGUUAAUCGGAAUUACUGGGCGUAAAGCGCGCGUAGGUGGCUUGAUAAGCCGGUUGUGAAAGCCCCGGGCUCAACCUGGGAACGGCAUCCGGAACUGUCAAGCUAGAGUGCAGGAGAGGAAGGUAGAAUUCCCGGUGUAGCGGUGAAAUGCGUAGAGAUCGGGAGGAAUACCAGUGGCGAAGGCGGCCUUCUGGACUGACACUGACACUGAGGUGCGAAAGCGUGGGUAGCAAACAGGAUUAGAUACCCGUGUAGUC